CUAACAAGCUGCUUGCACAUGUUAUUCACAAUGCUAAAUAGAAUCUGGCUCCAUCUGACAGCAACAGUAAUACUGCCAGCAAGUUGUUGGUCAUCAUAUCGAUGUAGUUAUAAAGAAGGCAAGACAGCGACUAUACUUCAUUAGGAGUUUGAAGAGAUUUGGUGGUACAGGACACAGGACAGUGGAAGCAGACAAACCAAUUGCCUUUGUUCUUGCCAUGAUGGAGGAGAUGGAGGCUGCCAUUUUAUAAAGAAGACUGGGUUCUCCAUUUUGUGAGUUACCGCUUGCCUUGAUCAGUGUUUUAAAGUCAACACAAUAAUGCUUCAGGGUGAUUCUUGUAAGAGACAAUUGAAGCGAUAAGCAGUCUGGAAACAGUCCAAUGUAGCAAGAAGAAGGAUGUUCUGACAUCGGGUCCAAGACAGAGAUCACAAGGUCGUUGAAUGCAGUGAGGAUUUUCACAGAAGAAAAUGUGAUUGGGUUGAAGACACCAGAGGAAUCUGUGAUCUGAUGCUCCCAGCAGCAAUGCCAGUCACAUCUUGAGGUUUUACUGGCAGACUAUGAUUUUUGGUCUAUUAAUUUUAAUGGAUAAAAAAUUACACUGCAUGACAGAUUUCCAGAGCUGCAAUCCCCAAAAGCAGGAGAUCAUUGAAUGACCCCCUUCCAUUUCAACUCCGAACAUAAAAGUGCCACUGCAUUUGAUAGACAGGAGCCCGUAUUAUCUCUCGACAGUUUCUAUGCCAACUAUCCUUAAUUACUGUUGGGCCAUCUUGCCAGUGGGCUUGUGGCUGAAAAGGUAAACUAACUGUAGAUAGAUGACAUUCAAAUGUCAAGCACUGUAGCAUGUGCUGCACUCUGUUUUUUUUUAUUAUUUGCUUGGGGAAAGCUGCUAUUUAACUACUAAAACUUUGAUACUUUAAAUAUUGUCUGAAAGAGCAAGUAGAUUAGUUAUAAACAUGUAAUGAAACGUAACAUUCAAACAUCCACAGCCAGACAAGAAGACAUUAUUUGCAAAACACGAUUAUCAAAAACUUUAAAUUGCAAAAAUAAGUCACUGCACUAGUUAAGUUACAAUGUGUAUAAGAGUACAGUGGUGAUUAAGAUCAAGAAAGGUGUAUAUAGCAAAAGUUACUAAAUGUGAUAAAUUAAAAACAUGUAUUAAAUUAAUUUUUUGAAUAUUAAAUUUAUUAAUACAUGUAAAUGUUGCUAAGUGUUGGUGAGAUUGACUUGUGUGAUAUCACAUUAACGCACUGAUGUUAUUAAGGACUAGACUAACCAUGUGAGGCACAGUUAAUCUCCCCUUUUCAGAAAGUUCGUGCUACCACUCCUCUCCGCAUGCUUCCAAUAAAUAUUGUCAUUCGGCAGGUAUCCUGCUCACAGAGCAGGUUAAUAUCAAAACAGGAGGUAGAAUUUUAAUUAACCCAUUUUCUGGUAUUCAUUAGGCAAGGAUCGUUAAAAUCAAGGCCUCCAUCCAUACAUAAGAGUUCAAAAUGAAAAAAUUGUCCUUUUAUUUUGUGCCAAUGGGCGAUUGCAUGGGUGCAGUAAGUUAGACAACAUCCAUGCAAAUCAGGGUUCAGAUGGGCGAGAUAUCCCAACCUCUUGGGUUUGGCAGAACAAAGGUCAUACCUACCCUAGACGUACGGAGACUGAGAAGGGUGGUUUUCUCACAGCUGAGUCCAGUGACUGUUAGCAAGGAGCCAACGAGCUGCAUCUCUAGAGGUGGCCAUUAAAAAGAUGUUUCAAAUACAAUAAUUUGGCUUUUAGAUAGACCUUGGCUUUUAGAGGUAUAUGGAUCAGAUGUAGGCAGAAGAGAUUUAUAUUAAUUUGGCAGUGCUUCAGCGCACACAUGGUGGGCCAAAAAGCCUGUUCCUGUGCUCUACUGUUCUGUUUGAAAACAAAUUAUCUAUCUCUGUGACAGGGGAAAAUCUGUACAAACAAAACACCUACUGUAAAUUCCUUCAGGCCAGUAGAGAGUGCGUUGCUGCCGAAUGGAAUCAUUAUUAUCUUUCAAAUCAUUGGGACUGGAAAUUCAAUAUCACAUUGUUACCAUUAUAAUACAAUUGCAUAAUUUUCCAAAAACGUCUCACAGUCAGUUGAGCAAAGGAAUACUUUCACAUGGUUAUACACUUUCCCAUGCAUCUUGGAACAUUUCUUCUACUUUAAAAGCUGUUAUAUGUUUGUUGGGUUACCCACAUAUGGGUUAUGUAUCCCAAGCCUGUAUCCCAUUGUCACAGUUCAUAUUAGGAGAACCUGACCUCACCUACACCAAGGUGGCAAACUGCAAAGUGACAAACAAGUACCUCAAUGCACCUGGAUAGCCAAAACCAGGAUUGUGGGUGGUAAGAGAUUGCAAUUGCAGAAUUCUUAAACCAUGGUAGCAGCAAUCUAUAUGAUUUUCAUACAUAGAAAAUCAAAAUAUUGCAGCAUAUAAUAAUGAUAAAAGGUCCUCGACCUGAAAUAUGAAUUGUUUCUCAUUACACAAUUGCUGCAUGACCUGCUAAAUAUUUUGAGCUAUUUUCAAACUUUUCCUAGGUAGGUCUAUUUUGCUUCCUCACCAGUGGUACUGAUCAGAGUCUGCAUGUCCAUCAGUUUCAGAGUUAUCAUGACAAUCAGCUUCUUUAAAUUCUGUUUUGCUUUUCAGAAGCAAUUCUAAUAGAGGGGUCCACCCUUAGGCCUCUUUGAAAAUGCUACUGAAAACAUCACGAGCUAAAUAUGGUACAAAACCAGGAGAGUGUCAGGUGAGAACCUCAUUAAGGUUGACAACCUGAUAUGUGAUUUCCUGUUAAUGGGGAAUGCAAAAUCUCAUGAUGCACUGUGCCAGCUGAAAAUGUAAAUGACUUGAAUGUGCAGAAUCAACUCAGUUUGGCUAGAACUGAAUAAGAAGUGGACAUAGGUUGGAGUUUUCCUCUGUGCACUUUUUCCUUCUGUCUGAAUAGACCACUUUCUUAUUAUAAGGUAUCAGAAUACUUUAGCUAAGUAUCAGGUUUGUGGUCUGGUAACAAAAGGCAGGUAAAUUCUGUUGAAAACCUGCAUGUGCUAACACCCUUGUGUCAUUGAAGCCAGCUGUGAAGAGCUUUUGAGAUUGCCUCCAACAAAAAGUUGGGGAACGUCAACAGAAAUGUUACCAUCUGCGCUUGUAUGCUCAUCAUUAAAAAAUUCCAAUGCCUUAUAAAAAGCUUCCCAGCAAUAAACUGUGAAGGGAAUCAGUGGAGCUGUUAGCACUUUCAAUCUAUACUGCUGGCAAAGUCAUAGAUUAUUCUUGAGACCUGCGACAAGAUCGUCUGCCCAUGUAAUUGUCACUUCUAUGGGUUUGCCUAGUUUUAAAUUUAUUAAAUCUGACAUGCUCUUCCAAAUCUUCAUUUUUUUAAUCCUAGUUUCCUAUUUGGUACCAAUCGACAAUUAGUAUGAUUGAUAAAACACAGGCUACCUUGGUUAUAGAAUUGUGCCAAACAAGUAAAUAUUAGUCAAUAUUUAUUUUUCAAGAUUUAUUUAACACAUGUACUUCAGUUUAAUGUUGAUUAUAAAUACAGAAGCCUUACUCUUCAGUGGCUGGUUAUGAUCUAAAUACCUCACUGGAAGUUGGAUAACCAUGAGCCAAAACAAUGCCACAUUAAUCAUCGGCAAAAUACUAAUUGUUGCCAUGUUCCAAUGCAAACAGUUUGAUUUUGUACAAUCAAACUUAUCCUUGGGCUUUGUGUAAAUUUUCAGGCAAUAUUGUCAGUUGUUUUCUUCUCUACAAGCCUUCAUGGGUUAACAUUGUAAUAUGUUUUUUCCUCUGUUUUUGAUUCCAGCAAUGUAAGUUCUUGUGAUAAAGAAAUUUAAGGUCAACACUGAUGUGUUUGAAAAUAAAGGGACCAACAAAUAUGUUUUUUGCUCAGAUUCUGACUGACUGAUUUGUAUCCUCCCUGGUUUCAUUAAAAUUCCAAACAAUUGUAACUUUCCUUUGUUUUCACGGUUGCAGCACAUAUGCUUUUAUUGUUUACGCCAACUGACAAAAAUGGGGGAAAAAAACUGUAAAGAAUACUCAUGAUGAAAGUUGGCAU